rnacentral:sRNA from 1 species
GGGGAAGAGCCCGUGUGUGUGUGUGUAUGUGUGUACACGCAGACACAUGUAUGGGCCUCCAUCUCAUGUGCGUGGUGUAACUGUGGGUUAGCACCUAUGCCCACGCCUGCGGGGUGCGUCCUGCUUCAUUUUGCCUGUGUGGAGGGCUGGAGGCAGGGCCGAGGCUGUGGGGCUGUGCAGGGCCUAUCAAGUGGUACAGCCGUAAUGGUCCUUGGGGCCAGUUGCUCCGGCAGCCUGCCUCCAUGCACCCCCUCUUUGAACCUGGUUUCCCCAUGAAAACUGGGGAAAGGAGCAGGCCAGGGAGAGUGACCCCUGAGCUGUCACUGCCCCCUGUCCCACCCCACAGUGAAGAUGCUCAUUCGGAAUCUGCUGAAAACAGAGCCCACCCAGAGAAUGACCAUCACCGAGUUUAUGAACCACCCUUGGAUCAUGGUAAGCUCGGCAGGCUGGGGAGCCUUGGGUCUCACGGGACUAUUCCACAGGACAGAGUCUUAGCCAGGACCCUACCCCAGGCUCUCACUCGGACCCCUUUUCUCUCUUCUCAGCAAUCAACAAAGGUCCCUCAAACCCCACUGCACACCAGCCGGGUCCUGAAGGAGGACAAGGAGCGGUGGGAGGAUGUCAAGGUGAGGGGCACCACUGGGUGAGAGGGGCUCCAGGUGGGGUGGGCGGCUUGCGGGGAGUGCCCAGGUGUGAGGCGUCGUGCUGGUGGGGGAGAGCUUGAUUCUGCCUCUCUCAUCCCAGGGGUGUCUUCAUGACAAGAACAGCAACCAGGCCACCUGGCUGACCAGGUUGUGAGCAGAGGAUUCUGUGUUCCUGUCCA